rnacentral:tRNA from 1 species
UGGUCUUGUAAGCCAAAGGAYGAAGAUUCACCUCUUCUUAGAGUU